rnacentral:rRNA from 1 species
GCAUGAAGCUGGAAUCGCUAGUAAUCGCGAAUCAGAAUGUCGCGGUGAAUACGUUCCCGGGUCUUGUACACACCGCCCGUCACACCAUGGGAGUCGGAAAUGCCCGAAGUCAGUGACCCAACCGCAAGGAGGGAGCUGCCGAAGGCAGGUCCGGUAACUGGGGUGAAGUCGUAACAAGGUAUC